ensembl:lncRNA
GGGACAGAGAAGAGACCCUGGCCACUACAAAGCCAACUGUAAGGAACAGCCAGGCCAGUGGGUCAAAUCCAGUGACCACUGUGUCACAGUGAGAUCUGAGGAGGCCGUCCUCAAAGACAGGGAGAGGAUGGCCUACAUACUUUUUUACAUCAAAAAGUGAGGCGGAUUACCCUUCUCCCCACACCUCCCCAACCCAUCUGCCUUGGUCUGCCCUCCCCCAUCAUCAUCAGGGGUAAAAGCUGUCAGCACCACUCCAGCAGGCUGGCAAGCAAUGGGUGACCCAUUCAUAAAGGUCAAGGUCAGAGCGUCCCUACC